GAUGAACGCUGGCGGCGUGCCUAAUACAUGCAAGUCGAGCGAACAGAUGAGGAGCUUGCUCCUCUGACGUUAGCGGCGGUCGGGUGAGUAACACGUGGAUAACCUACCUAUAAGACUGGGAUAACUUCGGGAAACCGGAGCUAAUACCGGAUAAUAUAUUGAACCGCAUGGUUCAAUAGUGAAAGACGGUUUUGCUGUCACUUAUAGAUGGAUCCGCGCCGCAUUAGCUAGUUGGUAAGGUAACGGCUUACCAAGGCAACGAUGCGUAGCCGACCUGAGAGGGUGAUCGGCCACACUGGAACUGAGACACGGUCCAGACUCCUACGGGAGGCAGCAGUAGGGAAUCUUCCGCAAUGGGCGAAAGCCUGACGGAGCAACGCCGCGUGAGUGAUGAAGGUCUUCGGAUCGUAAAACUCUGUUAUUAGGGAAGAACAAAUGUGUAAGUAACUAUGCACGUCUUGACGGUACCUAAUCAGAAAGCCACGGCUAACUACGUG
rnacentral:rRNA from 1 species